AAAAGCUAUGGAAGGAAAUGAAAUCACUGAAAGACAGAYUGGCACAAGACAUGGCUGUUUCAAUAAAGACAGGAGACACUGAGAGCAUGAAUGACCCGGUCAGUAAAACCAGACUGACUGAAAUGUACAAAAGUCUAAAGAUGAAGAAGUGGAUUGACAUGAAAGAUCUUCUGAAAUCCAAUAAAUCCAGUCCAGAGUUUACAAGGGCUUUGGUUCAGAAAACCUUUAAAGAAGCGGCGGAAGAAAUGAGAAGAAUAAAGCAGCAAAUAGA